rnacentral:rRNA from 1 species
UAGGGAAUAUUGGACAAUGGCCGAAAGGCUGAUCCAGCCAUCCCGCGUGAAGGCAGAAGGUCCUAUGGAUUGUAAACUUCUUUUCUCUGGGAAGAAACCCCUUGAUUCAUCAAGGGCUGACGGUACCAGAGGAAUAAGCACCGGCUAACUCCGUGCCAGCAGCCGCGGUAAUACGGAGGGUGCAAGCGUUAUCCGGAUUCACUGGGUUUAAAGGGUGCGUAGGCGGACUUGUAAGUCAGUGGUGAAAGCC